rnacentral:rRNA from 1 species
GAUGAACGCUAGCGGCAGGCCUAACACAUGCAAGUCGAGGGGUAGAGGAAGCUUGCUUCCUUGAGACCGGCGCACGGGUGCGUAACGCGUAUGCAAUCUACCUUGUACUGAGGGAUAGCCCAGAGAAAUUUGGAUUAAUACCUCAUAGCAUUAUGAUGUGGCAUCACAUUAUAAUUAAAGUUCCAACGGUACAAGAUGAGCAUGCGUCCCAUUAGUUAGUUGGUAAGGUAACGGCUUACCAAGACAAUGAUGGGUAGGGGUCCUGAGAGGGAGAUCCCCCACACUGGUACUGAGACACGGACCAGACUCCUACGGGGGGCAGCAGUGAGGAAUAUUGGUCAAUGGGCGCAAGCCUGAACCAGCCAUGCCGCGUGCAGGAUGAAGCAUCUAUGGUGUGUAAACUGCUUUUAUACGGGAAGAAACACUCCUACGUGUAGGAACUUGACGGUACCGUAAGAAUAAGGAUCGGCUAACUCCGUGCCAGCCGCCGCAGUAAGAC